GGCGGACGGGUGAGUAACGCGGUGGGAACCUGCCUCAUACAGGGGGAUAACCAGUCGAAACGAUUGCUAAAACCGCAUAAUAUAGCGAAACCGCAUGAUUUUUGCUAUCAAAUAUUUAUAGGUAUGAGAUGGGCCCGCGUCGUGAUUAGCUAGUUGGUGGGGUAAUGGCCUACCAAGGCGACGAUCAGUAGCCGGCUUGAGAGAGUGACCGGUCACAUUGGGACUGAGACACGGCCCAAACUCCUACGGGAGGCAGCAGUGGGGAAUAUUGGACAAUGGGGGAAACCCUGAUCCAGACCGACGCCGCGUGAGUGAAGAAGUAUUUCGGUAUGUAAAGCUCUAUCAGCAGGGAAGAUAAUGACAGUACCUGACUAAGAAGCCCCGGCUAACUACGUGCCAGCCGCCGC
rnacentral:rRNA from 1 species